rnacentral:ncRNA from 1 species
CUACUAUCCAGCGAAACCACAGCCAAGGGAACGGGCUUGGCGGAAUCAGCGGGGAAAGAAGACCCUGUUGAGCUUGACUCUAGUCCGACUUUGUCAAAUGACUUGAGAGGUGUAGGAUAAGUGGGAGCCCUUACGGGCGCAAGUGAAAUACCACUACUUUUAACGUUAUUUUACUUAUUCCGUGGGUCGGAAGCGGGGCAUG